AGCACAGCUCCCUCUUUCGCCAGCCCCAAUGAUCUUUUUGAAAUGGAGUCAUCUUGACAUAAGGAAAUCUUGCAUGACUAAGAGAAAAUAAUUUCUGAGCAUGCCAUAAGAUUUUACUUUUCAUGUUAACUUAGUGGGUUGUUCUUUUGAAGAAUCAAUGGCAUUUUAAAGGCAAGCACCUUCUACAAAUUUGGAAAUUUUGACUUUAUGCUUACAGAAAGAAAUGCCAUAAUUUAAUCACCUUUUACAGGUUGUUCCCUUCAUUUUGCAAAAUAAGCAAUAAACUC
rnacentral:lncRNA from 1 species